UUAAUAAGGUUUGUGCCAACCUACAUCCCAUGCCAGGGGUCUGGGGAGGUGGCAUGUGUCUACAGCCAUAUCUUUUUGCACUAUCAGCACUAACCACCCUGAAACUUCCUGCUGCAGCAUCAGCCCUUCAGAGUUACAGCGUUAUCCUGACUCUGUGUAGGUGAAUAACAGAGUCUUUCUGUGUAUUUUUUGUACAAAAGAAGGUAAUAUAAUCUGCAUUAUAACGAGCUGAUGCUGUUCUCUCUCCUCUCUUGGAAUUGUGCUGGCCCCUUAGUCUACAAUAAACUGUGCCAGUUUAAAAACCUAAGGCUAAAACUGAAAGCCCUUUGAUGGGGUCUUCAUUCAUAUCAGUCAUUUGGGCUUCUGUGAUCCUGAGGCUAAGAAAAGGGAAGAUACUCUCGGGAGGACCGUGGGCAGCUACACUCCAGGCUCUUGAUCUCUGCUGGAUUGGGGGUGGCCACCUCAGAAACUUCCACUCUCAUGACUGGCAUGGAAGAAUGAACUGAGAGCCUCAUGUGGAGAGGGGAGCAGAAAUCGUGAAAACAGCUGCUCUCCUGGGCCCAGCUUUAUAGGCAACCCUUUCUCCUCACCAGCAUGAUAGAUAGAGCAUCUCUCCUUUGCUGCUAAGGCAGCUGUUUUCAGGGGGAUAGUCCCUCCUUCCCAGUUAACUGGGUGAACCCCAGUGGGGGAAAAACACUCAAGCAAUAUACAGACGCUUGAAUUCUUUGCAGACGUCUGCAGUUCCAACACUACCGUGUUCUCAAACCACCCUAGGGGAAAGGCCCUUCCAAACGGGGGCUUGCAUUCUGUAUAACAGUUCAAACAUCUAGCAGUUGGGUCUUGAUGUCCUCAAUUUUACUCUGAUCAUGAAAAUAGCCCACAUACCCUCACGGUCUCUAGUAGGGAUCCCAGAGGCACAUAACCUGCCACGACCAAGGAGGUAUUCUGACUUUGUCACAGUGAAUAUUUAAAAUAAUCAGUUAGAAGCCCACACCAAACCCAAAGCCUGUGAUAUUUUAGUUCAUUAAGGUAACUACUAAUGAAGGAUUUUAAAAAGUGUUCUCAAAAAGGACUUGCCCCAGGAGUUGUUAUAAAAUUUCCCCCACUUGUGUACAGUGUGCACUAAAAGAAAAUGUCUUUCACUAUCUAGUGCCUGGGCUUUGAGCAUCAUGCAGUACUAUUUCUAAGUGACUCAGAGGAAUCACUUUCCCCAAGUUACCCAUCUGCUCAGCACUCAGAACUGAGCAUGUGAAAGCCAUAGCACUGCCCACAACCUGUUCUCACUGCUUCGCUCCCAGCUGGCUUAAAGGCACCUGUUCAGGAGAGAGAGGGAGGGAGAGCUUUCACCUUGGAAAAGGUAAAAACGGCAAUGUACACCAAAAAGACAACUUUGACAUUUAAUGGAACAUUUUUUUUACAAGUAUAUUUUUCUACUGAUAGUUUCAGAACACUAAUCUUAUAUUCACUCUAAUCUUAAACAUGUUUCUUUAAAUAUUUAUAAGGCAGUUUAUUACAGAAUAUUUUUAUGCAAUCAUGUGCACAUUAUUGGUAGCAAACAUAGUAUAUUCUUUAGUACUUAAACAUGUUUUUUUAAUAUGCUUUUAAUGGUAAGAAAUGAACUUGAGGUCCCGGGAGAUUUUGUUGCCUUUUCAUUGAUUAGAGACAAUAAAUACCUUGUAACUUCCUAACCAGAUCUGAGCUGUGCUCACAAUAGUAGUAAAGUCAGAUCCUUUGAUGCUGGACCCAGGAGGGAACUCAUUAGCCAACUGUUGAUCACUUAGAACUAGAUGUCUACGUGAGAAAGUAUAUAUAUACAUAUAUAUGACAUGCAGGAGUCACUUUUAUAUAUCUGUCUCUGUCCACGUAUGAAGCCAGGGAGCUGUAGCAGUAUGUUGGUGACGGUCAGGAUGCACAGAAGUACCAGGUGGGAUUUUUUCCCACACUGACAACUUGGCUUCCUUUCUGUAUGUUCAGUCUGUUUUGUCUGAACUGACACUCCUGUGAGCACUACACUGUUUAUACUCUGAUCUCUGUAGUUCAUCUUAAAUUUAUUCAUGGCCCUGGCAAGAUAGCAUACACAAGAUCCCAUGACUCCAGAGCAUUUUGAAGAAACACACAUAUUUUUAAACAGGGAAAACAUAGCAGGUGGUUCAUAAGCUGUGGGUUUUAGCUAAAUAUUUUGUUUCUUUGUAAUCAUGUUUUUAAAUUCUUUACCAUAUGAAAGAGAAAGAGUGUCAGAGAAGGCUUGGUCUGCUUUUUCUGAGUUCAGAUUCUUUUUAUACUUUGCUGAUCUUUAAACUAUCCAUGGGGGAAAUUUUAUAGCAACAAGUUAAUGAUUUUCACUCAUUGUUUACACAAUGUAAAAUGUGUCAAACUGGGGCCAGCAAGAUGGCUCGGUGGGUAAAAAAGCUUGAUGCCCCACAACCUGUGUCUUCUCUUCAGGAUGCACAGGUAGAAGAAAAGAAUUGAUUCCCGCAGGCUGUCUUCUGCCCUCUACACACACACACACACACACACACACGCACACGCGCACACGCACACACGCACACACGCACACAUGCACACAUGCACACACACACAGCAUUUAAAAGUAUGUGCCAAAUUGUAUUUGUUCAGGGCCACCUCCCACUGAGGUAGAACUGUCAGGCUCAUCACCCUGAGUUUGUAGUAAAAGUGUGUCCACGCACAGGCCCCAGAGUCGCCUCCAACGAAAUAAAUGUCAUCCUGAACUAUGCUAUGAAGCUUGUUGUUUUCUUUCAUCGUAUGCCUGUCAGUAGGAAAAAUAUGUCAAGUUAAAUCGAAUAGAGCACUUUCCGGUGGUCAAUGUCAGUCCUGGGCCAGGCGACUUAGGACCAGGAACAUCAGCUCUCUGAGCCUCCCCCUCCCCCUUUGUCACAAGGGAGUAGAAGCAGAAGGUGGCUGAGAUCUCCUCCCUAUUCCCAGAUGCCUUGGUUGAAUGACCUGCCUCGCUGCUGGUCCUGCCAAUGUGUUGGUGCUAGAAGCUGCUUCAAAUACCGGUUUGUAGUGUGUGCUCACCUAAUCACUUCUGUUAUUGAGUGCCUGUUCUAGGUUUAUGGACUUACUAUUUCUGUGAUGUCUCAUUUUUAGCCAUGUUAACUCUUAACACAUAUUCUCUUAUGUCUCAGUAAAGUUUCAUUUGAUAAAUUGUUGUUGAGAUUUUGUUAUUUGAUAAUAUUCUUUGGCUAUUCAUCCAGCAUCUUAAUCACUUUAAAACUGUGAUCAUUAUUUGGAACUCUGUUCUUUGGAAAGAAUAAAAGCAUUUUUUCACUUGCUAACAUGCUCACAAAUGUGAGAGAAGAAUCAUUAAAAGCUUUACUUACUGGGUCAGUGCGUCAUUGACUCCUUCCUGUGUUUUGCCCAAUAAAUUAAUAAAAGACUACUUCUCUUCC
rnacentral:lncRNA from 1 species